rnacentral:rRNA from 1 species
UACGGGGGGGGCAAGCGUUGUUCGGAAUUACUGGGCGUAAAGGGCUCGUAGGUGGCCAACUAAGUCGGACGUGAAAUCCCUCGGCUUAACCGGGGAACUGCGUCUGAUACUGGAUGGCUUGAGUUCGGGAGAGGGAGGCGGAAUUCCAGGUGUAGCGGUGAAAUGCGUAGAUAUCUGGAGGAACACCGGUGGCGAAGGCGGCACCCUGGACCGACACUGACGCUGAGGAGCGAAAGCCUGGGGAGCAAACGGG